AUACUUACCUGGCAGGGGAGAUACUAUGAUCACGAAGGUGGUUUUCCCAGGGCAAGGCUUAUCCAUUGCACUCUGGAUGUGUUGACCCCUGUGCUCUCCCCAAAUAAAAAAAAGAUCAAAGAAAAUAAAAACAAAAGGCCAUCCUGCUGUGCAGAU
ensembl:snRNA U1 U1 spliceosomal RNA